GAUUAAGUUAUUAAGGGCGCACGGUGGAUGCCUUGGCACUAGAAGCCGAUGAAGGACGUUACUAACGACGAUAUGCUUUGGGGAGCUGUAAGUAAGCUUUGAUCCAGAGAUUUCCGAAUGGGGAAACCCAGCAUGAGUUAUGUCAUGUUAUCGAUAUGUGAAUACAUAGCAUAUCAGAAGGCACACCCGGAGAACUGAAACAUCUUAGUACCCGGAGGAAGAGAAAGAAAAUUCGAUUCCCUUAGUAGCGGCGAGCGAAACGGGAAGAGCCCAAACCAACAAGCUUGCUUGUUGGGGUUGUAGGACACUCUAUACGGAGUUACAAAGGACGACAUUAGACGAAUCAUCUGGAAAGAUGAAUCAAAGAAGGUAAUAAUCCUGUAG
rnacentral:rRNA from 1 species